UAAUACGGGGGGUGCGAGCGUUAAUCGGAAUUAUUGGGCGUAAAGGGUGCGUAGGUUGUUGUAUAAGUUAUCUGUAAAAGUCCUGGGCUUAACCUGGGGAUGAGAGAUAAGACUGUUCGACUAGAGUAUGGGAGAGGGUAGUGGAAUUUCCGGUGUAGCGGUGAAAUGCGUAGAGAUCGGAAGGAACACCGGUGGCGAAGGCGGCUACCUGGCCUAAUACUGACACUGAGGCACGAAAGCGUGGGGAGCAAACAGGA
rnacentral:rRNA from 1 species